AAGGAGAAAAACUCAAGCUAACUUUAAUUCAGGUUGCUCUGGUCAGCUGUAGCCCAGCUGCUGCAUUGGAACUCUUCUGAAGGGUGAAAGGCAGGUUCAGGAGAAAAUCUCUUCAAGGAGGUUACAAGACAGAGAUUUUUCUUCCCUGGAUGGGAGGCAGGACAGAAGAGAGGAUUGAAGAACAAGUCAAGUUAUAGCAUCUCUGCUCAGGUGCCUAGCAGUCCCUCUCAGGCUUUGUGCUGCUCACUGGUUUGCACUCUGUCACCCACCCCCUGAAUGUGUAGCCUUGCAGGCAGACUUGACUGCCCAGACUGAGUCAACACAAUCUGUGAGAAUGAUUUCAUGCUGGCACAGUCUUAACCAGUAAAGAUGUCUAAAAUUCAUAUAAACCUUUACAGAGCUGCCAGUUAGAAAAAAGAAAUGUAAAAUAUCUAAAGGGUAAGUGAAAUAAAGAAGUAUG
rnacentral:lncRNA from 1 species